GACGUAGGGCGCGAGCGUUGUCCGGAUUUAUUGGGCGUAAAGAGCUCGUAGGCGGUUUGUUGCGUCGGCUGUGAAAACCCAUGGCUUAACUGUGGGCUUGCAGCCGAUACGGGCAGACUAGAGUUCGGUAGGGGAGACUGGAAUUCCUGGUGUAGCGGUGAAAUGCGCAGAUAUCAGGAGGAACACCGGUGGCGAAGGCGGGU
rnacentral:rRNA from 1 species